rnacentral:rRNA from 1 species
CUACGGCGGCUCCAGUGAGGAAUAUUGCACAAUGGGGGGAACCCUGAUGCAGCAACGCCGCGUGGAGGAUGACGCAUUUCGGUGUGUAAACUCCUUUUAUAUGUCAAGAAAAUGACGGUAGCAUAUGAAUAAGCACCGGCUAACUCCGUGCCAGCAGCCGCGGUAAUACGGAGGGUGCAAGCGUUACUCGGAAUCACUGGGCGUAAAGGACGCGUAGGCGGGUUGGAAAGUCAGGUGUGAAAUCCUACAGCUUAACUGUAGAACUGCACUUGAAACUUCUACUCUAGAGUAUGGGAGGGGGAGAUGGAAUUAGUGGUGUAGGGGUAAAAUCCGUAGAUAUCACUAGGAAUACCUAAAGCGAAGGCGAUCUCCUGGAACAUUACUGACGCUAAGGCGUGAAAGCGUGGGGAGCAAACAGGAUUAGAUACCCGUGUAGUC